rnacentral:sRNA from 1 species
CUCUACAAUUCUAUAAAUUUUUGAAUGAUGACCUUGCGCUUCAGUUCUAACCUUACUGACAGAGUAAUCAUCUCAUUUCAAUGCUAUACACGGCAUACUUCUGUGCUUCUACUCCUCAGUAUAAAAAACACAGAGAUAUUGGGUGGGGAACAACAACAGAAAGCGCUGCAGUGCGCUACCAGCUGAUAUCUCAAGAGUUACUGAGAAUCGAAGUCCAGUAAUUGAUAUUUUAUUGAAAGAAAUCACACUGGAGCAAAAGAGCUCAAUCACCAUCAACUAACUAAAUCUCGAGCAUGCAACUUAAAAAAAAAGGUCCCAGCAUUCGCAAUGGCCUUUUGAAGAUCGGAAAUCCAACUACUACGUAGGCAUACGGUCCCGUAUUAGGGUGCCAGGUGUCGGAUGGAGGGAUUUGUGCACUUAAUCAAACAGCAAACAGAAAUUUUGAUACUAUAACGCGGGAGUAUGGGAGAUUUUGCGGAUGAAUUAACAAAUUAGCCGGGCUUUAUGAAGUUGAUAGAAGAGGAAAAAAAAUUUAAAAAAAUAAAAGCCUGCUGUUCCAAACAUCAUCCUGAUGAGUUUGAGUCCCGAUUUUUCAAAUGUUAAUAAGAACUUCGUUGCCAAUCCUCAUGCGUGAGACUGUGUAUGCACAUAUUUCAUAGACCGGG